rnacentral:rRNA from 2 species
GACGAACGCUGGCGGUGUGCUUAACACAUGCAAGUCGAACGGUAAGGCCCUUUCGGGGGUACACGAGUGGCGAACGGGUGAGUAACACGUGAGUAACCUGCCCUCAUCUCUGGGAUAACAGUCGGAAACGGUUGCUAAUACUGGAUAUGAGCUUGCAAGGCAUCUUGUGGGUUGGAAAGAUAUUUUUUGGUUGGGGAUGGACUCGCGGCCUAUCAGCUUGUUGGUGAGGUAGUGGCUCACCAAGGCUUCGACGGGUAGCCGGCCUGAGAGGGCGACCGGCCACAUUGGGACUGAGAUACGGCCCAAACUCCUACGGGAGGCAGCAGUGGGGAAUAUUGCACAAUGGACGGAAGUCUGAUGCAGCAACGCCGCGUGCGGGAUGACGGCCUUUCGGGUUGUAAACCGCUUUCAAUUGUGACGAAGCUUUUUGUGACGGUAGCAGUAGAAGAAGCACCGCUAAAUA